AGAGAAGUGUUUUCCGUGUCGGACCGUGCACAAGUUCCCUGGAACGGGGCGUCAUGRAGGGUGAGAAUCCCGUAUAUGGCAUGGACUACCGAUGCUUUUGUGAUACACUCUCAACGAGUCGAGUUGUUUGGGAAUGCAGCUCAAAAUGGGUGGUAAAUUCCAUCUAAAGCUAAAUAUUGGCGAGAGACCGAUAGCGAACAAGUACCGUGAGGGAAAGAUGAAAAGCACUUUGGAAAGAGAGUGAAACAGUACGUGAAAUUGUUGAAAGGGAAGCGUUUGAAGUCAGUCGUAUCUGGUGGGAUUCAGCCGGGCUUUUGCCAGGUGUACUUCUCGUCCGAUGGGUCAGCAUCAAUUUUGACCGGGGGAAAAAGACGUG
rnacentral:rRNA from 1 species